UCCCUGGCGUGCGGCCGUGCGGGGCGAGUCCAGCCCGCUACUGCGGGAGUGCGGGCGGCAGCGGCGGGGCUGAGCGGGCUCUUCCCAGCGUGGUCCAGGUGAACGUUUGUUCAGGCAGCAUCUCCGGGGGCUCUCGGGCGCCUGCCAUUUCUCAGUGUUGUUUUCCUGGACAGGACGCUGUGGCAGCAGAGAGUCGGGGAUACUCGGGGGAAGCUGAUGUCCCGAGGGAGAAGGCUUUGGCCGCCAGCCGCAACCGCUUCGCUGAGGAGCGGGAGCUUCCAUCGGAUGAACUGGAAGUCGGGCAGGAGCCAUGUACCAGGCCCAGCACCUCACCCGCUUCAACCACCAGACUGGGGCUCCCAGCUGGGCACCAACGCCGACCUGGCAAAUUUCAAAACGGUCCUCUCUGCCUUGAGUUUAGAGACCUAAGUGCAAACUUAGCCGAAUUUUUCAGUUUUUUUCUUCCUUAAAAUUAACAUAGUCAUGACUGAAAAUGUGAGAUAUAUGGAAAGUCACUCUGAAACAAAGCCUUUUAAUUUACCAAUAAAACUGGUAAAUAUAUUUUAUCCAUACUUAUAUAUAUAAUAGGAAUAACAAUGACUUUGAUUACUUACAGAAAAUCAUGGGUUGCAGAUAUAUUGCAUUUUGUGUAUAUAAAGAAUAUAUUCAUUCAGGCAUGGCGCUUAUUUUGUGGUUGCUGUGUGGAGACAUCCUGGCCAUCUACUAACCUACUUUCCCCUCUAUUUGAGAAUGACAGGAAUAGAUUACUAAUGUUAGAUGGCAGCUCUCUGCACAACACACAUAUUACUAAAUCUGUCUCUUCUUUUUAAAGUGACAUCUGUCAAAUUAUCUAAGAUCUUCACCUCCCACAAGUAUACAGCAUAGCUAGAAGUUUCCUUGCAAUUUGAGAGAAAUGACCUGAUAAUUCAACAAGGACCUGCUUUUAAGGACUUGAUCCUAAAGAUUUCUCAGACUUUACCUAAGCAAAUUACAUCAGGAAAUUUCCAGUACUUGGGAGUGAGUUUUUUGGAACAGAACUGCCUGCUACCAAGGUUUAUGUGAACACUGCAUACCAUCAGCAUCAGCUGAGCACAUUAUAUGGACCCUCCCUGGAUCAGACCAACAUAGUCCUGGCCAGUCUGGGUUGGAAUAAUGACUGGAAUCUUCCAGUCUGUGUUCUGUAGGUCAGAAGAUUCAGAAUGCAGUUUUGGCACAACUACAAGACUGUUCCCACCAGCUGUUCAUCUAAUUCAUCAGCAAGAACCAUAUUCAACAAGAUUAUACUGCUUUCAUUUGUCCCCUUCAGAAAAGCAGAGGAAGAGCAGAAAAGUAGGAGAGAUGGAGACUACCUGCUUCCCAUCAUAAUGGUCCUUCAUUAGAGGACCUAUUCCAUCAUGAUUCAUGUGAUACCUACACAAGUUCCCAACGGGAGUUGUACUUUGAAUAAUAAAGGUAGAGCAAAGAACAGAAGACAGGUGAGCUGUAUCCUCCAUCUCUGAGAAUACACAGCAUUUCUCUGUCUAGCUGCAAGCCUUCAGUGCCAAACUUACUGCUGUAUAUGUUACUAUAUCCCACUCACUCCAACCCAACCAUGAGCAAGUAAUGAGUUAACAAUGAAUGAGACAAGAUGAUUAUUCAGCAGUGGGACAACUUCUUAGGUUCAUAACCAACUACAGUUUAGCAGCUGUACUGAACUUGAGGAUUGCAGCUAUGCCUUACCUUUUUUUGCUGAUGGGACACAUACAAAAUGUCCAGGUUGUCUGAGAAGCCUUUGUUUAUAUAUGGCUUUAGUAAACCUUUAUUAUGGUGGUUAUCUUACCCACAGCUCUUAUUUAGUCCUGAUGUUUAGCAACAGUAAACUGUUCACUGGAUAGUUUUUUGUCAUGGGAUUCAACAAAAUGAAAGUAAAGAUUACAUAAGGAUUUUUUGUGAA